rnacentral:rRNA from 1 species
UACGUAGGGUGCGAGCGUUAAUCGGAAUUACUGGGCGUAAAGCGUGCGCAGGCGGUAAGUUAAGUCUGAUGUGAAAGCCCCGGGCUCAACCUGGGAACGGCAUUGGAAACUGGCUUGCUGGAGUGUGGCAGAGGGGGGUGGAAUUCCGCGUGUAGCAGUGAAAUGCGUAGAGAUGUGGAGGAACACCGAUGGCGAAGGCAGCCCCCUGGGCUAACACUGACGCUCAUGCACGAAAGCGUGGGGAGCAAACAGG